rnacentral:rRNA from 1 species
GUGGCGAACGGGUGAGUAAUACGUGAGCAAUGUGCCCUUGACUCUGGGAUAAGCGCUGGAAACGGCGUCUAAUACCGGAUACGACCAUCGGAGGCAUCUCCUGGUGGUGGAAAGAACUUCGGUCAAGGAUCAGCUCACGGCCUAUCAGCUUGUUGGUGAGGUAAUGGCUCACCAAGGCGACGACGGGUAGCCGGCCUGAGAGGGUGACCGGCCACACUGGGACUGAGACACGGCCCAGACUCCUACGGGAGGCAGCAGUGGGGAAUAUUGCACAAUGGGCGCAAGCCUGAUGCAGCAACGCCGCGUGAGGGACGAAGGCCUUCGGGUUGUAAACCUCUUUUAGCAGGGAAGAAGCGGAAGUGACGGUACCUGCAGAAAAAGCACCGGCUAACUACGUGCCAGCAGCCGCGGUAAUACGUAGGGUGCAAGCGUUGUCCGGAAUUAUUGGGCGUAAAGAGCUCGUAGGCGGUUUGUCACGUCUGCUGUGAAAACCCGAGGCUCAACCUCGGGCUUGCAGGGGGUACGGGCAGACUAGAGUGCGGUAGGGGAGAUUGGAAUUCCUGGUGUAGCGGUGGAAU